GGAUGGAAAAGAGUUUCUGUACCCCUACUUCACCUUUACGAUGCUUCCUAGUCACAGUGCAUACAGGAAAAUCCCUGCCAACUGACAACACACAGUAGCCUCCAGCAACCCAGGUCAGGCUUGAAGACAUUGAAGAAAAUGCCUUUAAAUGAUGAACUGCUUGUCUUUUCUGCCUGUUGAGACUUCACUGUUAAAGAGUUAGAUGACCAGCUCAGAUGUACACAUCUAUGCUGCUGACAUGCACAUGAGAAGCCCAUCUAUUAAGACAUCUAUAUACCUGGGUGACAUUUUCAUUCGGAGGUGUUGAAAUAAAGUUCACAGCACUGAAGCAGAGGCAUCCAGAAAAAGUGCUGAAGGGUCAUGGGGAACAAAAAUGCCUCCAGAAGGUUGGGUGGAAACAGCCAGCCAUAAAUAGCUGAAACAGUUAUGAAUUGGAGAAAAUGAAGAAA